UGGGGAAUAUUGCACAAUGGGCGCAAGCCUGAUGCAGCCAUGCCGCGUGUGUGAAGAAGGCCUUCGGGUUGUAAAGCACUUUCAGCGAGGAGGAAGGUGGUGGACUUAAUACGUUCAUCAAUUGACGUUACUCGCAGAAGAAGCACCGGCUAACUCCGUGCCAGCAGCCGCGGUAAUACGGAGGGUGCAAGCGUUAAUCGGAAUUACUGGGCGUAAAGCGCACGCAGGCGGUUUGUUAAGUCAGAUGUGAAAUCCCCGGGCUCAACCUGGGAACUGCAUUUGAAACUGGCAAGCUAGAGUCUAGUAGAGGGGGGUAGAAUUCCAGGUGUAGCGGUGAAAUGCGUAGAGAUCUGGAGGAAUACCGGUGGCGAAGGCGGCCACCUGGACGAAGACUGACGCUCAGGUGCGAAAGCGUGGGGAGCAAACAGAAUUAGAUACCCUGGUAGUCCACGCUGU
rnacentral:rRNA from 1 species